GCCAGGCAUGGUGAUGCAUGCCUGUAGUCCCAGCUACUCAGGAGGCUGAGGCAGGAGAAUCGCUUGAACCCAGGAGACGGAGGUUACAGUGAGCCAAGAUUGCACCACUGCACUCUAGCCUGGGUGACAGAGCGAGACUCUGUCUCAA
rnacentral:SRP_RNA from 1 species